AGCUUCAGAUGGAUUCCAUUAGAUAUUAGAGAAAACCAAACAAACUGUGGUGAUGUUCUCCUUAGCAUGGUUGGUGAAAUGUGUCCUGAUCAACCUGCAAAUAUUAUCAAGCUCACUUCGACGGGACUGUGGUUAGGGAUAAUGUGUGCACUCAUCGUUCAGAUGCUAUUGCUUCUGGCCAUAACACUGUGCACCAACUGGGAGAAAGAAGCUCUAAAGGCCAAGGAAAGAGUUUUCAGUUUGUCCUUGCCCGCAGACAUGACGACAUGAUAAUACAAUGUACACGAUCCAAGAACCAACAUGAAGAUUGAUGGACGAUUUUGUUUGGCAAUAGUGGCUAAGAAAUUCUACGAGAUAAUGGGAAAUCACAGCUUAAAAAAUUAAGACCAUCAUCUACAUGUUUUAAUGACGCAAUUAAUAGUUGCCAAAACAUGGAACUAUCUGUAAGGAAGAGUUCAGACAGCGAGAAAUCUGCUUUUGGUGGAUUUUUGGUCAGACGAAGAAAUAAAAUGUUUUGGACUAGAGGCACUGCAUUGG